ACCUAAAUAGUUUAAAUAUAAAAUGUUAGUUUGUGGAGCUGAAAAUGUAAUUUUAUUACUUUGGGUA
rnacentral:tRNA from 1 species